rnacentral:rRNA from 1 species
GCGGUUUGUCGCGUCGGGAGUGAAAACACCGGGCUUAACUCGGUGCUUGCUUUCGAUACGGGCAGACUAGAGGUAUGCAGGGGAGAACGGAAUUCCUGGUGUAGCGGUGAAAUGCGCAGAUAUCAGGAGGAACACCGGUGGCGAAGGCGGUUCUCUGGGCAUUACCUGACGCUGAGGAGCGAAAGUGUGGGGAGCGAACAGGAUUAGAUACCCUGGUAGUCCACACCGUAAACGUUGGGCGCUAGGUGUGGGGCCUAUUCCAUGGGUUCCGUGCCGCAGCUAACGCAUUAAGCACUCCGCCUGGGGAGUACGGCCGCAAGGCUGAAACUCAAAGGAAUUGACGGGGACCCGCACAAGCGGUGGAGCAUGUGGUUUAAUUCGACGCAACGCGAAGAACCUUACCAGGUCUUGACAUCCCGCUGCCCGGUGUAGAGAUACGCCUUUCCCUUCGGGGACAGCGGUGACAGGUGGUGCAUGGUUGUCGUCAGCUCGUGUCGUGAGAUGUUGGGUUAAGUCCCGCAACGAGCGCAACCCUUGAUCUUAGUUGCCAGCAUUCAGUUGGGCACUCUAAGGUGACUGCCGGUGACAAACCGGAGGAAGGUGGGGAUGACGUCAAAUCAUCAUGCCCCUUAUGACCUGGGCUACACACGUGCUACAAUGGACGGUACAAAGGGCUGCAAACCCGCGAGGGGGAGCCAAUCCCAGAAAACCGUUCUCAGUUCGGAUUGCAGGCUGCAACUCGCCUGCAUGAAGCCGGAAUC